rnacentral:rRNA from 1 species
UGCAAGUCGAACGGUAACAUGAGAGCUUGCUCUUGAUGACGAGUGGCGAACGGGUGCGUAACACGUAUGCAACUUGCCCCUAACAAAGGAGUAGCCCAGAGAAAUCUGGAUUAAUACCUGAUAAUAUCAUUUUUUCGCAUGAUUAGAUGAUUAAAACUUCGGUGGUUAGAGAUAGGCAUGCGCCCCAUUAGUUAGUUGGUAAGGUAACGGCUUACCAAGACAGCGAUGGGUAGGGGGUCUGAGAGGAUGAUCCCCCACACUGGUACUGAGACACGGACCAGACUCCUACGGGAGGCAGCAGUGAGGAAUAUUGGGCAAUGGACGAAAGUCUGACCCAGCCAUGCCGCGUGCAGGAAGAAUGCCCUAUGGGUUGUAAACUGCUUUUAUAUACCAAGAAACGCAGGUACGUGUACCUGUCUGACGGUAGUAUAUGAAUAAGCACCGGCUAACUCCGUGCCAGCAGCCGCGGUAAUACGGAGGGUGCAAGCGUUAUCCGGAUUUAUUGGGUUUAAAGGGUUCGUAGGCGGGACUUUAAGUCAGUGGUGAAAGCCUAUAGCUCAACUAUAGAAUUGCCAUUGAUACUGAAGUUCUUGAGUACACUUGAAGUUAGCGGAAUGUAUCAUGUAGCGGUGAAAUGCAUAGAUAUGAUACAGAACACCGAUUGCGAAGGCAGCUAACUAAAUUGUCACUGACGCUGAGGAACGAAAGCGUGGGGAGCGAACAGGAUUAGAUACCCUGGUAGUCCACGCUGUAAACGAUGAUCACUCGAUAUUGGGCCUUUAUGGUCAGUGUCCAAGCGAAAGUAUUAAGUGAUCCACCUGGGGAGUACGACCGCAAGGUUGAAACUCAAAGGAAUUGACGGGGGCCCGCACAAGCGGUGGAGCAUGUGGUUUAAUUCGAUGAUACGCGAGGAACCUUACCAGGGUUUAAAUGCAGAACGAUCGGGGUGGAAACACCCUUUCCUUCGGGCGAUCUGCAAGGUGCUGCAUGGUUGUCGUCAGCUCGUGCCGUGAGGUGUCGGGUUAAGUCCCAUAACGAGCGCAACCCCUAUUCUUAGUUGCCAGCGAGUAAUGUCGGGGACUCUAAGAAAACUGCCUGCGUAAGCAGUGAGGAAGGUGGGGAUGACGUCAAAUCAUCACGGCCCUUACGUCCUGGGCCACACACGUGCUACAAUGGCAAGUACAGAGGGCAGCUACCUGGUGACAGGAUGCUAAUCUCUAAACUAUAUCUCAGUUCGGAUUGAAGUCUGCAACUCGACUUCAUGAAGCUGGAAUCGCUAGUAAUCGCGCAUCAGCCAUGGCGCGGUGAAUACGUUCCCGGGCCUUGUACACACCGCCCGUCAAGCCAUGGAAUCUGGGAGUGCCUGAAGUCGGUAACCGUAAGGAGCUGC